UUAGUUCAACUGGCGUACCCCAUCAGAACCCAAAAUAUAAGCUUGUUUUACUCCAAUGUUUGUAAACAAUGCAAAUGUAAACAAAAACUGUACAGCCUAACAACAUGAUUAAAACUAUAAUGUUGAUAUCAUGGAUGGUCAAGCCCUUGCAUCCAUCGCUCUGUAUAUGAAUUAGAGUGGUUAUGUUUCUCCAGGCCCGUCCCUCAGCAUUUUACAAAAACAAAGGCAGGGUGAUGCUUUGUUAUUGUUUUGAUUUAAGGAUCCUAGCUUUAUGCUGAUCUAUAUUGGUGGUUAUGCUAGGCUUUCGAAGUCUUAAGUCUAUAUCAGUCUGUCAUUGUGUUGUUGCAGAUGGCUUGCCAGGAAAAAGACACAGAGUCCCUCAAGUCUCUUCAACCUGAACUCUGGCCUCUUCUCUCAGCAGAGCAGAACCACCUCCUUCACCUGGUGGUGCAAGAGCGGAUCACCCCCUCUGGACAGGGGAUUUAGUACAGUCCAGAUCAACUCACUACACCCCCUCGGAAUGACACAUAAUGGAACAUUCCUGUCUCUGUCUUGGUCUGUUGUAGGGCCUCUUGAAUAAUGUUUUGGUGGUGUUGCCUUUUCUAAAAAACGUGGGAACCGGACCAAGCAUGUCGUUGGACAUACUGUACAUCUUACUGCAUCCCCUGUUAUGCCUAUUAGUGGUCGCAGGAUUGCUCUCGUGGUGAAGUCUUGCAUCAAAUAGUUAUUUAUUGGAAAUAUGUUGAAUAGAUGAAAUAUGAAUGAAAAAUAUGCUUUUUUUUCUAGCGUUUUUAUUUUGUUAAUAAAUUGUAUAGUCUGAACAAACAUGGCUUAAAUUCCAAUGUAAUUACAAAACAGAAUCCCUCUACUGCAUUAUAAUAAAUGGUGAUAUUACAUACACCGCAUUGA